CCACAGUCACGCUACCCUGAACAUGCCUGAUCUCCUCUGAUCUCAGAAGCUAAGCAGGUUCAGGCCUGGUUAAUAUUGGAUAGCAGAAAAUUGAAUUUGGUACUGGAAGGC
rnacentral:rRNA from 1 species